AUUGAACGCUGGCGGCAUGCUUUACACAUGCAAGUCGAACGGUAACAGGCCGCAAGGUGCUGACGAGUGGCGGACGGGGGAGUAAUACAUCGGAACGUGCCCAGUCGUGGGGGAUAACUACUCGAAAGAGUAGCUAAUACCGCAUACGAUCUAUGGAUGAAAGCGGGGGACCGUAAGGCCUCGCGCGAGUGGAGCGGCCGAUGUCAGAUUAGGUAGUUGGUGGGGUAAAGGCUCACCAAGCCAACGAUUUGUAGCUGGUCUGAGAGGACGACCAGCCACACUGGGACUGAGACACGGCCCAGACUCCUACGGGAGGCAGCAGUGGGGAAUUUUGGACAAUGGGCGCAAGCCUGAUCCAGCAAUGCCGCGUGCAGGAAGAAGGCCUUCGGGUUGUAAACUGCUUUUGUACGGAACGAAACGGCUCUGGUUAAUACCCGGGGCUAAUGACGGUACCGUAAGAAUAAGCACCGGCUAACUACGUG
rnacentral:rRNA from 1 species